rnacentral:rRNA from 1 species
GACGAACGCUGGCGGCGUGCUUAACACAUGCAAGUCGAACGAUGAAACCUAGCUUGCUAGGUCGAUUAGUGGCGAACGGGUGAGUAACACGUGACUAACCUGCCCCUUUCUCUGGGAUAACGCUCCGAAAGGAGUGCUAAUACCGGAUACUCACAUCGAGGCACAUGCCUUGGUGUGGAAAGUUUUUCGGAAAGGGAUGGAGUCGCGGCCUAUCAGCUUGUUGGUGAGGUAACGGCUCACCAAGGCGACGACGGGUAGCCGGCCUGAGAGGGGGACCGGCCACACUGGGACUGAGACACGGCCCAGACUCCUACGGGAGGCAGCAGUGGGGAAUAUUGCACAAUGGGCGCAAGCCUGAUGCAGCGACGCCGCGUGAGGGAUGAAGGUCUUCGGAUUGUAAACCUCCUUCAGUAGGGACGAAGCGAAAGUGACGGUACCUAAAGAAGAAGCACCGGCUAACUACGUGCCAGCAGCCGCCGUAA